rnacentral:rRNA from 1 species
AUUGAACGCUGGCGGCAGGCCUAACACAUGCAAGUCGAACGAGUGGCGGACGGGUGAGUAAUGUCUGGGAAACUGCCCGAUGGAGGGGGAUAACUACUGGAAACGGUCGAUAAUACCGCAUACCAUCGGAUGUGCCCAGAUGGGAUUAGCUAGUAGGUGGGGUAAUGGCUCACCUAGGCGACGGGCCCUAACUGGUCUGAGAGGAUGACCAGCCACACGGGAACUGAGACACGGUCCAGACUCCUACGGGAGGCAGCAGUGGGGAAUAGUGCACAAUGGGCGCAAGCCUGAUGCAGCCAUGCCGCGUGUGUGAAGAAGGCCGUCGGUUUGUAAAGCACUUUCAGCGGGGAGGCGUUACCCGCAGAAGAAGCACCGGCUAACUCCGUGCCAGCAGCCGCGGUAAUAC